rnacentral:rRNA from 1 species
GAUGAACGCUGGCGGCGUGCCUAAUACAUGCAAGUCGAGCGAACGGACGAGAAGCUUGCUUCUCUGAUGUUAGCGGCGGACGGGUGAGUAACACGUGGAUAACCUACCUAUAAGACUGGGAUAACUUCGGGAAACCGGAGCUAAUACCGGAUAAUAUUUUGAACCGCAUGGUUCAAAAGUAAAAGACGGUCUUGCUGUCACUUAUAGAUGGAUCCGCGCUGCAUUAGCUAGUUGGUAAGGUAACGGCUUACCAAGGCAACGAUGCAUAGCCGACCUGAGAGGGUGAUCGGCCACACUGGAACUGAGACACGGUCCAGACUCCUACGGGAGGCAGCAGUAGGGAAUCUUCCGCAAUGGGCGAAAGCCUGACGGAGUAACGCCGCGUGAGUGAUGAAGGUCUUCGGAUCGUAAAACUCUGUUAUUAGGGAAGAACAUAUGUGUAAGUAACUGUGCACAUCUUGACGGUACCUAAUCAGAAAGCCACGGCUAACUACGUG